rnacentral:tRNA from 3 species
UGGCGGUGUAGCUCAGUUGGUUAGAGCAGCGGAAUCAUAAUCCGCGUGUCGGGGGUUCGAGUCCCUCCACCGCUAU